rnacentral:rRNA from 1 species
UACGUAGGCAGCAAGCGUUGUUCGGAGUUACUGGGCGUAAAGGGUGCGUAGGCGGCUUUUUAAGUUUGGUGUGAAAUCUCCCGGCUCAACUGGGAGGGUGCGCCGAAUACUGAGAGGCUAGAGUGUGGGAGAGGAAAGUGGAAUUCCUAGUGUAGCGGUGAAAUGCGCAGAUAUUAGGAGGAACACCGGUGGCGAAGGCGCCACUCUGGGCCGAAACUGACGCUGAGGAGCGAAAGCAUGGGUAGCAAACAGG